rnacentral:rRNA from 1 species
UACGAAGGGGGCUAGCGUUGCUCGGAAUCACUGGGCGUAAAGCGCACGUAGGCGGAUCUUUAAGUCAGGGGUGAAAUCCUGGAGCUCAACUCCAGAACUGCCUUUGAUACUGGGGAUCUCGAGUCCGGAAGAGGUGAGUGGAACUCCGAGUGUAGAGGUGAAAUUCGUAGAUAUUCGCAAGAACACCAGUGGCGAAGGCGGACUCACUGGUCCGGUACUGACGCUGAGGUGCGAAAGCGUGGGGAGCAAACAGG